UCCCCGUUGACGCAAUUGGUUAGCGUGUCAGACUUUUACAAACAAAUGAAAUCUGAAAGUUGAGAGUUCGAGUCUCUCACGGGGAG
rfam:Fusarium oxysporum Fo5176 contig00452, whole genome shotgun sequence.